rnacentral:rRNA from 1 species
AGCAGCCGCGGUAAUUCCAGCUCCAAUAGCGUAUAUUUAAGUUGUUGCAGUUAAAAGCUGUAGUUGGACUUUGGGCCGGGUCGGCCGGUCCGCCUCCGAAAGUUGGGGCGUCGAAGACAUCAGAUACCGUCCUAGUCUCAACCAUAAACGAUGCCGACCAGGGAUCGGCGGAUGUUGUUAUAGGACUCCGCCGGCACCUUAUGGGAA